rnacentral:ncRNA from 1 species
CGAGCUGGGUUCAGAACGUCGUGAGACAGUUCGGUCCCUAUCCAUCGUGGGCGUAGGAGUCAUGAGAGGAGCUGUUCCUAGUACGAGAGGACCGGAAUGGACGCAUCACUGGUGCAACUGUUGUCGUGCCAACGGCACAGCAGGGAAGCGAAAUGCGGACGGGAUAAACGCUGAAGGCAUCUAAGCGUGAAGCCCACCUCAAGAAUAAGACUCCCAUUGCGCAAGCAAGUAAGACCCCCGGAAGACUACCGGGUAGAUAGGUCAUCGGUGGAAGUACGGUAACGUAUGGAGCUUGAUGAUACUAAUAGGUCGAGGGCUUGAUUUC